UUAAAUUGAAGAGUUUGAUCAUGGCUCAGAUUGAACGCUGGCGGCAGGCCUAACACAUGCAAGUCGAACGGUAACAGGAAUCAGCUUGCUGAUUCGCUGACGAGUGGCGGACGGGUGAGUAAUGUCUGGGAAACUGCCUGAUGGAGGGGGAUAACUACUGGAAACGGUAGCUAAUACCGCAUAACGUCGCAAGACCAAAGAGGGGGACCUUCGGGCCUCUUGCCAUCGGAUGUGCCCAGAUGGGAUUAGCUAGUAGGUGGGGUAACGGCUCACCUAGGCGACGAUCCCUAGCUGGUCUGAGAGGAUGACCAGCCACACUGGAACUGAGACACGGUCCAGACUCCUACGGGAGGCAGCAGUGGGGAAUAUUGCACAAUGGGCGCAAGCCUGAUGCAGCCAUGCCGCGUGUAUGAAGAAGGCCUUCGGGUUGUAAAGUACUUUCAGCGGGGAGGAAGGGAGUAAAGCUAAUACC
rnacentral:rRNA from 1 species